GCAGCUCAAAGAUGGCAGGUGAAGAAAACAGUGAGUUGACAAAGGUCUGGUCCCUGUCCUCACGGAGCCCACAGACCAGCGAGGCAAAAGUGGGGCCAGAUGUGGUCUGAGGACUGAAUUAUGUUCAAAUUAUGUGGGAACCCAGAGACCUUUCUCUUAAGCUGCUUUUGUGUUUCCAUGGAACUUUCCCUUGAUAUUCCACCUGUCAGUUGAGUGAGGUGCUGUCUUCCUGAGGACUUUCAGGAUGCCUUGUCAUAUCUCACUGGAGGCUGACCAUGGCUCCCGGUUGUGGAAUUGAGCUGGCCAGGGAAGAGGCAGAGAGAUGUAGGAGUAUAAUUGCAAGAUCUUCGGGUAAACGUGUGUUCAGUUUCUGAGAAACGGUUUCCAGGAUGGGCGAUCCAGACGUCGUCCCGGCCAGCAACAUGUGAGAGCUUCUGGGCUUUACAUCUUCACCAAUCUGCAGUGUUGCCAGUCUUUUAAAUUUCAACUAUUCUGGUGGUUAUGAGUGAGACCAAGCAGGACCAUCCGGAUACAGUCGGAGAGAUGACGCUGAUUCAAAGCUGUGGCUGCGGGUGCCUUGUGAGGGUCAUCAAUUUCCAGUUCAGUCUUACUCCCUCCCAGACAUCUUGGACUCCACUUCAACUGGAAAUGUUUGCUGGGCACCUUCUUCCUUGGCUUGUUCGGUCUCCGUUUCUGUCCUCCUCUCUCAUGAGAGUGCCCGAAGUUCUGCUGAGCUGCUCAGCUUGGAGUCCGUGUUUGAUUCUGGAAUUGGCUGCGGCCUUGCAAGGAACGUGACCCUAAGCGUUGGACUCACCCUGCACAUUCCCGGUGCUUUGGUUGUUAUCCUCUGCCUGCAAACAUGUUUUGUUUUUG